GAUGAACGCUGGCGGCGUGCCUAAUACAUGCAAGUCGAGCGAACAGACGAGGAGCUUGCUCCUCUGACGUUAGCGGCGGACGGGUGAGUAACACGUGGAUAACCUACCUAUAAGACUGGGAUAACUUCGGGAAACCGGAGCUAAUACCGGAUAACAUGUUGAACCGCAUGGUUCAACAGUGAAAGACGGUUUUGCUGUCACUUAUAGAUGGAUCCGCGUCGCAUUAGCUAGUUGGUAAGGUAACGGCUUACCGAGGCAACGAUGCGUAGCCGACCUGAGAGGGUGAUCGGCCACACUGGAACUGAGACACGGUCCAGACUCCUACGGGAGGCAGCAGUAGGGAAUCUUCCGCAAUGGGCGAAAGCCUGACGGAGCAACGCCGCGUGAGUGAAGAAGGUCUUCGGAUCGUAAAACUCUGUUAUUAGGGAAGAACAAAUGUGUAAGUAACUAUGCACGUCUUGACGGUACCUAAUCAGAAAGCCACGGCUAACUACGUG
rnacentral:rRNA from 1 species